CAAAGAGUGACGGCGUUGGAUCUUUCGUUCAUGGGUCUUCGGGGCACCAUCCCUCCUGAAAUUGGAAAAUUAUCUUUCCUUUCUUCGUUCACAAUCACGAACAACAGUUUUCAUGGCUCUCUUCUCAGUGAAUUGGCUCAUUUGCCUAGGUUGAAAAUCGUUGAUAUCGCAAACAACAACUUCAGCGGAGAAAUCCCAUCACUGUUGAACUUUUUGCAAAAGCUCGAAAGGUUGGUUCUUCAUGGAAACAAUUUCAUGGGCACUAUUCCACCUUGGCUCUUCAACAUUUCCACACUGAAGCAUGUUAAUUUGUCCCAUAAUCUUUUACACGGGAAUAUUCCAGCACCAGCAGAGUUUGGUAAUAUAGAGGUGAUCGAUGUGAGCUCGAACCAGAUUUCAGGUUCCAUUCCAUCAACUUUCUGGAACAUGUCCUCGUUGCAGCUUUUGUACUUGGGAUACAACAGGCUGUCUGGUAGCCUUCCUGAUGAUUUGUGCCAAAGACUUACUUUUCUUCAAGAACUCGCGGUAGAUGAUAAUGGGCUUUCUGGUCCCAUUCCAUCCCAUAAUUUAUCUCGGUGCAGAGAGCUUAAUACUCUGUAUCUUGGGGAUAA
rnacentral:misc_RNA from 1 species